CUGCAUCGAUUAGCAUGCGAGUCGCGAGAUUAGAUUCUCGGCGUACCGCUCAGUAACACGUGGGUAACCUGCCCUAUGCUGGAUAAUAACCUCGGGAAACUGAGAAUAAUGAUCCAUAGUUCACUACGCCUGGAACGGUGAGUGGACGAAAGCUCCGGCGGCAUAGGAUGGGCCUGCGGCGUAUCAGGUUGUAGGGGGUGUAAUGUAUCCUCUAGCCCUCUACGCGUACGGGUGUUGAGAGACAUCGCCCGGAGAUGGAUUCUGAGACACGAAUCCAGACCCUACGGGGUGCAGCAGGCGCGAAAACUUGGCAAUGCGAGAAAUCGUGACCAGGGAACUCCAAGUGCAUCGGGUAAGACCGAUGCUUUUCUAGACUCUAAAAAGGUCUUGGAAUAAGAGGUGGGUAAGGACGGUGCCAGCCGCCGCGGUAAUACCGGCGCCUCAAGUGGUAGUCGCUUUUAUUGGGCCUAAAACGUCCGUAGCCGGUCUGAUACAUUCGUGGGUAAAUCAACCAGCUUAACUGGUUGAAUUCUGCGAGGACGGUCAGACUUGGGACCGGGAGAGGUGUGGGGUACGCUCAGGGUAGGGGUAAAAUCCUGUCAUCCUGAGCGGACCACCUGUUGCGAAAGCGCCACACUAGAACGGAUCCGACGGUCAGGACGAGCCUACGGGCACGAACCGGGAUUAGAUACCCCGGGUAGUCUAGUGUAACGCUGUGGACCUGAUGUGGGGGUGCUCCGAGCACCUCCUCAGUGUUCGAAGGCGACGU
rnacentral:rRNA from 1 species